rnacentral:rRNA from 1 species
UCCGUAGGGUGACCUGCGGAGGGAUCAUUACAGAGUUGCAAAACUCCCUAAACCAUUGUGAACGUUACCUAUACCGUUGCUUCGGCGGGCGGCCCCGGGGUUUACCCCCCGGGCGCCCCUGGGCCCCACCGCGGGCGCCCGCCGGAGGUCACCAAACUCUUGAUAAUUUAUGGCCUCUCUGAGUCUUCUGUACUGAAUAAGUCAAAACUUUCAACAACGGAUCUCUUGGUUCUGGCAUCGAUGAAGAACGCAGCGAAAUGCGAUAAGUAAUGUGAAUUGCAGAAUUCAGUGAAUCAUCGAAUCUUUGAACGCACAUUGCGCCCGCCAGCAUUCUGGCGGGCAUGCCUGUUCGAGCGUCAUUUCAACCAUCAAGCCCCCGGGCUUGUGUUGGGGACCUGCGGCUGCCGCAGGCCCUGAAAAGCAGUGGCGGGCUCGCUGUCGCACCGAGCGUAGUAGCAUACAUCUCGCUCUGGUCGCGCCGCGGGUUCCGGCCGUUAAACCACCUUUUUAACCCAAGGUUGACCUCGGAUCAGGUAGGAAGACCCGCUGAACUUAAGCAUAUCAAUAAGCGGAGGA